GCGCACGAAUAACUGAUAUGGGAACUAUAAAUACUCAAAGCUGAGUACACUUGUCACCAGUUACUAAAAUUAGUCAAAUAUAUUUCUACCAGUAAUUAUAUUUUUCAAUAUAAAAAAAAAAAUAAAAACCAGUCGAAAUGUUGACACGUUUCUUUGGACUUUUUCUGAUUGUCUUCAUGGUUGGACUGGUUUUUGUAGACGGAAUGGGUGGGAAUGAUUGUUUAAGUGUUGGAGAGUGCGAUAGACAUUCGGAGUGUUGUUCUGGCAUAUGCGCUAUGGAUCCUAAUUUAGCACAAGAUGGUAAACAGUGCCUAUACUAAUUGACAACAACCAAAAAUGAUUUUAUUGUAAUGUAAAAAUAAAAAUAAAAUCAUCCAAAUAAAA